rnacentral:lncRNA from 1 species
AAAUACUUAUUAAUUAAGAAUAUAUUGCUUAGGAAUUAAUUUUGGUUUUUGAGUUAGGUUAAAGGGCUUUAUUUAUUAUUUAGGUAUAGAUCAAUGUGGAAUUCCAUAUGAGUUUCAAGUCGUUAUAAAUGAUUUAAAAUGACGUUUCUGCCCUUAAUAAUCUGACUAAAACUUAGAACUGAAUUCCAGUAUCCUUAAAGCUCAUAUCCGACACUACAUUGCAAUUUUUAUUCUGCAAUUUUAUGGAUUCAAAUUUCACUCUUUAUAACCUCAUUAGUUUGCCCCAUUUUUAGUUCAGGUCGAUCACGGCCUAGAAAGGCGAAAGCUCAACUCUCGUCAAAGCCAUCUUGGCCUUGCAUAUAUGAGCGGAUGCACAGAGACAAUUGAUCGGAAUCCUCCAUGAACACCGGUGAGGGGUGAAUGAGAUUGAUUGGGGUGUUAAUGAAUCCAUAAUGAACAGCCUACAUAUCUCUGGGGAAUGGACUCAAAUCACAAGUGAAUACUAGAGAAUGAGUAAUGUGAUAUGUGCCACAUCGUAAAACAUCAUUGAUGAAUAAGCCUUGGCGAACUAGCUCUUGAAGCACAUCGAGACGUAGAGAGCCCCUAACGAAGUAUUCCGAAGUAGGACAAGAAUAGAUGAUCGUGAUUUUUUCUAAGGGCGUUAGGCAAGCAACCACUCAACUAGCCAUGAACCAAGCGUUUGGUAGUGUGUACUCUCUUUUGACCCUCGAAAAAACGUCUUCUCCCGUCUUAGCGCCUAGAGGAGCAUUCAAUUCCGACUCAGAUUGUGAGCCUAUGUACACUCACGGUUGAGAGCACAUUCCGACGAGCAUUUUGGACAUUCUAGGCAAAGCGUUCAUGCAUGGCUUGGCCCACAAGAAGUUCCUCCUACCAUGCAUCAAAGUUGCAGUACGAGGGACGGAGGGUAGCACAAGUACUGUGUGGCUCGAGUUCAACUGGUAACCUACACCAAACGCAACCACGAGCAGCUCGCUUGAUAGCUAGAGAAGAACCACGUGCAUCGAAGUCGCAGCAUAGGCAUAUCUAGAUGAAGUAGAAAAGGUUUUUAGAUGAGUGACUACACGAUUUACAUCAUUGUAGACCACUAGCGAGGCACUUCAGAGAGACAUGGCUAACAUGAGCAGGUCACCGUUCACGAACGAGAUCGAGUAGAUGAAGCCACAAAUUUAGCUUGCCACAUUUGACUUUUUCAAGGGAGACGAAAAUCUGGAUAGGCAACUGAAGCACUAUCACAACGUGAUGUUUCUCUACAUAAACAACAAAAUUGGGGGACCACGCUACCCUCUUAAACCACAUAAGGGGUUCACUGCCUACUCAGUCUCUUUAGAUCCAUAGGUCGUCCUGCCUGGUUACUCUGUAUUUGGAGACCACGUUAUUGGAUGG